rnacentral:rRNA from 1 species
UUGAAGAGUGGCGAACGGGUGAGGAACGCGUAAGAAUCUACCUUUCGGUUGGGGAUAACUUCUGGAAACGGGAGCUAAUACCCAAUAUGCUGUGGAGUGAAAGAUAUAUCGCCUUUGGAUUGUCCCGCGUCCGAUUAGCUAGUUGGUGAGGUAAUGGCACACCAAGGCGACGAUCAGUAGCUGGUCUGAGAGGAUGGACAGCCACAUUGGGACUGAGACACGGACCAGACUCC